rnacentral:sRNA from 1 species
UGCCAGGGUCAAAAGGUCUAAACCCACAUGAGCUUGCUCAUAGCUGAGUGAAAGACUUUGUGACCCGCCCCGAUAUGAGCAUAAAAGUGGGAUGUUAAUCCCACGAUAUGCGAAUAUUGGGUAGGAGUGUGGGAGCACAUAGUGCGAAGCAAUCCGUAGGCAUC